UUNUUGCACAUUACUCCCGGACCAUGUAAAGCCAGGAUAACACGGAUACUUAAAACGUUACUUGAGGAGGUGCAUACAUAUUGACCACCCUAAUUAAAUUACCACUCACCUGGAUAUCCACACUGAAGGCUCCUCAUCAUCCGUUCCCUCUGUCUCUGGCAAGGUCGGAUUUGACACCGAACUUCCUCGGAGGGUGGCUCCCAACACACUCUUCAGCUUAUGAACAUCUCCAAUUGUUUCUAAGUCUAUAGGAACUCCUUUUCUUGUUCCUGGACCAGGAUCAUAUUGAAACACCGGCUCCAUUUAGUCAGAACUUCACCAGAUAAGAAGUCAACGGCCAGCUCAAACUAACUUAUUUUAUUAUUAUAAAAAGAACCAAAAUCCAAAAGUAUUUAUCUAAGAAAUACUGUAGAACACUUAUAGUAAUCAAUAAAGGCAUUUACUUCCAUAUAGGUCUUCGUUAAUUUCAACACAAGCCUACAGAAAGAUCGACUUUCCGUGACAUGCCCCUCACGGGAGCUGUUCAAGUCUCUCUCACCGAUUUGACUCAAUAAAGUAAAAUUCCUCAUUUUAAAUUUAUUCUAAAUAAAGUCUAGUUGUUCUACAGUCACUCUAGUUUAGUAUUCUUUCAAUAUUUGUACUCACAUUACCACCAGUUCUCACUAUUUUCAGGCAAUAGUACAGACACUCCAACUCCAUUUUUCGUUAAAGUUCGAAAAAUAAUUUUAAUUUUUUCACAAAUUUUCGACGGGACACUAAUCAGCAACACUUCCGAUCGAUGAAUAUCCAAAAAUUAAUCCAAUUAAGGCACAAAUAAGCUCAGAAAGGGUUAACAAAGAGACUACUCCAAAAAGCUCACCAGCAGC